CUCACUCGCGUUUCUCGCGUGAGCGAGCGAGCGAACGCCCGCACCUCCCCUCGCGCCGCCGCCUCUCCCCGCGCCGUCUCCUCUCCUCGCGUCGUCUCCGGCCAACAUCGCUCCGUCGCCGUCCAAGAUCGCUCCGUCGCCGCCCAAGAUCGCCGCCCAAGAUCGCUCCGUCGCCGCCCAAGAUCGCCACCCAAGAUCGCUGCCCAAGAUCACCGGCCAAGAUCGCUGCGUAGCCGCCCAAGAUCGCUCUGUCGUCCAUCUUCUCCAGCCGAGCUGGAGUUUUAUCCUCAGCACGGUUUUGCGUCUGGACAGAUGCAAUUUUUUCCCUGUUUGGGUCUGAGCAAAGAAAUUGAGAUUUUUGUUCUGUUUUGGUAAAAAACAUGAAUAUGUGGGGACAGUAAGAUAGAUUUGCUAUGAAAUGUGAGGAUGUUGAGGCCGCUGGCACAGUAUGGUACAAGACCAUGAUCUCAGGCAGUAACUACACUGAAUUUGAUGUCUUCUCAAAGUGUGUCGGUGUGUCGGAGUAGUUAGCUAAAUUAUGUUUGCACUUCAUGUUCAAUGUUGAGGGUUGUGGCAAAAUUAUUGUAGUCUAGUUUAGACCGAUACGACUUGCCUUAUAUCAUUCCUGAACCCCCGACACUUUGCAAGAACCGACUGAAGCAACCGUUUUGGCUCCUGGAACUAAUUAUAUCUUAUAUCCGAUCAUGUUUGGCA